CUGCGCAUAGCUCAUUAAACCAGUUAUAGUUUAUUUGANNUUGACUUACUACUUGGAUAACCGUAGUAAUUCUAGAGCUAAUACAUGCCAAAAAGGCCCGACCGUAUGGAAGGGUUGUAUUUAUUAGAUAAAAAACCAAUCUCGCAAGAGUUUGUGGUGAUUCAUAAUAACUGUUCGAAUCGCAUGCCGCAAGGUGGCGAUAGAUCAUUCAAAUUUCUGCCCUAUCAGCUCUCGACGGUAGUGUAGUGGACUACCGUGGCAUUAACGGGUAACGGAGAAUUAGGGUUCGAUUCCGGAGAGGGAGCCUGAGAAAUGGCUACCACAUCCAAGGAAGGCAGCAGGCGCGCAAAUUACCCAAUCCUGAUACAGGGAGGUAGUGACAAAAAAUAACAAUACCGGGCCUUUACGGGUCUGGUAAUUGGAAUGAGUACAAUUUAAAUCCCUUGACGAGGAACAAUUGGAGGGCAAGUCUGGUGCCAGCAGCCGCGGUAAUUCCAGCUCCAAUAGCGUAUAUUAAAGUUGUUGCAGUUAAAAAGCUCGUAGUUGGAUUUCUGGUACGGUGCGCUUGGCCCGUACGGUUUUACCGUACGCGUGUCGAUGUGUGCCUGCCAUCCUUCCAGUAAACCAUCUUCUCUUAACGGGGCGGGUGGCGAUCUGGAUCUUUUACUUUGAAAAAAUUAGAGUGUUUAAAGCAAGCUUGUGCGUUGAAUACAUUAGCAUGGAAUAAUAAUUUAGGACUUUAUUCCUAUUUUAUUGGUUUCUAGGAGUGAAGUAAUGAUUGAUAGGGAUAGUUGGGGGUGCUAGUAUUCAGCGGCCAGAGGUGAAAUUCUUGGAUUCGCUGAAGACUAACUAAUGCGAAAGCAUUCACCAAGGAUGUCUUCUUUAAUCAAGAACGAAAGUUGGGGGAUCGAAGACGAUCAGAUACCGUCGUAGUCUCAACCAUAAACUAUACCGACUAGGGAUUAGUGGAUGCUCUUCUUGGGCGCCAUUAGCACCUUAUGAGAAAUCAGAAGUCUUUGGGUUCUGGGGGGAGUAUGGUCGCAAGGCUGAAACUUAAAGGAA
rnacentral:rRNA from 1 species